GACCCAUGAUCCUUGCAACUAUCACAGCCAUGCUGGAGCCAGGGAACACAGGAGAGGGGACCAGAACCCUCCCAGUUACCUUUUUUGUGGCUUGUUUGGAGAUCCUCACCUCAGAACUUUCAAGGAUCACUUCCAAACAUGCAAAGUAGAAGGGGCCUGGCCACUCAUAGAUAAUAAUUAUCUUUCAGUUCAAGUGACAAACGUACCUGUGGUCCCUGGAUCCAGUGCUACUGCUACAAAUAAGGUUAUGUCAUGGCUCCCUGAGAGUGAAAUAUGUGUGAAAUCCAACACCCAGCAGGAUAUACUAACAUUCUACAAAGCCAGAAUGGAUGCCUCAGCCUCCUUGGAAUGAUGUUAAACCAAUUGAGUAAACUGGUCCUGCCAACUGCAAUGUAAUAAAGUAGGUCUAUCAAACUUC
rnacentral:sRNA from 1 species